GACGAACGCUGGCGGCGUGCUUAACACAUGCAAGUCGAACGGAAAGGCCCUGCUUUUGUGGGGUGCUCGAGUGGCGAACGGGUGAGUAACACGUGAGUAACCUGCCCUUGACUUUGGGAUAACUUCAGGAAACUGGGGCUAAUACCGGAUAGGAGCUCCUGCUGCAUGGUGGGGGUUGGAAAGUUUCGGCGGUUGGGGAUGGACUCGCGGCUUAUCAGCUUGUUGGUGGGGUAGUGGCUUACCAAGGCUUUGACGGGUAGCCGGCCUGGGAGGGUGACCGGCCACAUUGGGACUGAGGUACGGCGCAGACUCCUACGGGAGGCAGCAGUGGGGAAUAUGGCAGAAUGGGCGGAAGCCUGAUGCAGCAGCGCCGCGUGCGGGAUGACGGCCUUCGGGUUGUAAACCACUUUCUCCUGUGACGAAGCGUGAGUGACGGUAAUGGGUAAGGAAGCACCGGCUAACUACGUG
rnacentral:rRNA from 1 species